ensembl:piRNA 21ur-12942 ncRNA
UUCUCUGAGCUUUUUUCCAAU